rnacentral:lncRNA from 1 species
UACUGUGGUUCUUGGAUGCCCAAGGGAAAGAGAUUUUUAUUAUCAUUGGUCACAGAACUGCCAAAUGUUAUCUCAUAAAUCUGUGUCUUUCACAAUGGAUGAGGCUGGAGCCUCGAACAGCACCAGCCUGGCCCCUGCACCCCGGAGCUCAGGGAUGCCCAGCGCCCUCCAUGCAGGCAGGCUUGGGCUCCAUGGCUGCGCUCGCUCUUCUGACCUGCACAUGACUUGGCUCCCAGAUCUGCCAUGUGGGGCUGCACCUGGUACUUCAGUGAACGGAAUAAGCAGAAGGAAUUGCUUAUCAGGACCAUCAGGAGCGUGCCACUCUGCAGAGAGGAGGACUUGAACCUCUGCAGUUCUCUGAUCUACUUUACAUGCACAUGUAGCUCGCCCCAUGUGGUCAGACCAUCCUUCCUGUUUUUCUGACCAACUGCUUUGUAUGAACAAAAUAAGUGGUGCCUUGAUACCCAGACAUCCACCCUGCACUCCCUGAAAGCCAUUUUCAGAUAUUCAAUUGUACUGUUCAAUUGUAGAUAUUCAAGGUGCUUUUGAUACUUUGGUAUCAAAAAAAAAAACUUUGGUACUUUUAGGUUCCAUCCUAAAAACAGGUGUUGGAUCCUUUGGUUACAGUCAAUGAAUACAGCCUUUACAGUUUACUGCUUGUCUUUGUCUCCUGCUUUACUCAGAGGAUGGCUUAUUUGUACCUGUCUUUUGGGCUUUGCUGAUAGUUUAUCUAGAAUUCAGCCAUUAAGCUGAACAUGCCUAUGCAUGUCGCUCCAGUUAAUCUAAUACAGCUAAUCUGUCCCUUGCAACAAAAGAUGAUGAUGUCACUUAUCAAUAGGUAAAAAACAAAAACUUUUUUUUUUGAGGCUAUCUGUAAAGAUUGGUGUCUGUUUAUACAUGGGACUGACUGAAGCCUACAGUGACUAGUGACAGUAGAAAUUUUUUCCAAUUCAUUUUAACGGUUAUACCAUCUCCCAUAGUCAAAUCUGUUAUCAGAGAGCAUUUCUCAAAUCUGUUUUCUAUGAAGACAGAAAACAGCUGAAAUAUGUCUGUAAAAAUAUAGAAAUUCAAAACAUUAUAGUUCAAUCUAGUUAAUUAAAUUAUGAGCACACAAUAGGGAAAAAUUGAAAACUGAAAUGUAGAUCAAGGAACAUGCUGAAACUUAAUUCAGAUUGCUUUUUCUUAUUUAUAUUCUGAAUUGCAUUAUGCUCUUUUGAACUGCUCUUUUACAGAAGGAGACUAGUACUUAGUGAUUUUGCUCUGAUGACUGAGCAAUACUAGAAAUAGAAAAUAGUUCUAAAAGAAUCAGUUAUAUGGACAUUUGGGAUUCAUAAUGGAAGAUA